UGCCAGCAGCCGCGGUAAUACGAAGGGGGCUAGCGUUGUUCGGAAUAACUGGGCGUAAAGCGCACGUAGGCGGAUUGGAAAGUUAGAGGUGAAAUCCCUGGGCUCAACCCAGGAACUGCCUUUAAAACUAUCAGUCUAGAGGUCGAGAGAGGUGAGUGGAAUUCCGAGUGUAGAGGUGAAAUUCGUAGAUAUUCGGAGGAACACCAGUGGCGAAGGCGGCUCACUGGCUCGAUACUGACACUGAAAGACGAAAGCAUGGGUAGCGAAGAGGAUUAGAUA
rnacentral:rRNA from 1 species